UAAGGAAUAUUGGACAAUGGGCGCAAGCCUGAUCCAGCCAUGCCGCGUGAAGGAUGAAGGCCCUAUGGGUCGUAAACUUCUUUUAUACGGGAAAAAACCCCCGAUUGCGAUCGGGGUUGAUGGUACUGUAAGAAUAAGGGUCGGCUAACUUCGUGCCAGCAGCCGCGGUAAUACGAAGGACCCGAGCGUUAUCCGGAUUUAUUGGGUUUAAAGGGUGCGCAGGCGGACUAAUAAGUCAGUGGUGAAAGCCUGAUGCUUAACAUCAGAACUGCCAUUGAUACUGUUAGUCUUGAGUACGGUUGAGGUGGGCGGAAUGUGUCAUGUAGCGGUGAAAUGCUUAGAUAUGACACAGAACACCAAUUGCGAAGGCAGCUCGCUAAACCGUAACUGACGCUGAGGCACGAAAGCGUGGGGAGCAAACAGG
rnacentral:rRNA from 1 species